GAUGAAAACCUGGCAGGUUUUUUUGGUUUGGCCCAUGGGGUGAUGGCCCUCGUUGCGAGAGUUAUUGCUCUUAGCUGGUCUUCUCUCUCAGCACCUCUGUACUGGAAUUUCUUUCCCAUUAUAUGAUUAAAGGCAAUGGUGCCUUUGGAAGGAAACAACUUUAAUGGGAAGACAUGUAAUGGGCUGUCAAUAAUGAGGUGAGCGUCAUCUC
rnacentral:lncRNA from 1 species